rnacentral:antisense_RNA from 1 species
CUUCACCGAGCCGAGCCAGAGCGGGCGGUCCUCGUCGCGGUCGCGGCCGUAGGUGGCCAGCAGGGCCCCGGCCUC